rnacentral:rRNA from 1 species
UACGAAGGUGGCAAGCGUUGUUCGGAUUUACUGGGCGUACAGGGAGCGUAGGCGGUUGGAUAAGCCCUCCGUGAAAUCUCCAGGCUUAACCUGGAAAGUGCAGAGGGGACUGUUCAGCUAGAGGAUGGGAGAGGAGCGCGGAAUUCCCGGUGUAGCGGUGAAAUGCGUAGAGAUCGGGAGGAAGGCCGGUGGCGAAGGCGGCGCUCUGGAACAUUUCUGACGCUGAGGCACGAAAGCGUGGGGAUCAAACAGG